rnacentral:rRNA from 1 species
CCGGAUUAGAUACCCGGGUAGUCCUAGGUGUAAACGCUGUGGACUUGGUGUUGGGGAAGCCCAGAGCUUUCCCAGUGCCGUAGCGAAGGUGUUGAGUCCACUGCCUGGGGAGUACGGUCGCAAGGCUGAAACUUAAAGGAAUUGGCGGGGGAGCACCGCAACCGGAGGAGUGUGCGGUUUAAUUGGAUUCAACGCCGGAAAACUCACCAGCAUCGACGGACAAAUGAAAGCCAACUUAACGAGUUUGCUGGAUUGUUCGAGAGGUCGUGCAUGGCCGCCGUCAGUUCGUACCGUAAGGCGUUCUGUUAAGUCAGAUAACGAACGAGACCCUCAUCCUUAUUUGCCACCCUAUCGCUUGCGAUAGGACGGGACUAUAAGGAGACCGCUGGCGCUAAGUCAGAGGAAGGCGAGGGCAACGGUAGGUCAGUAUGCGCCGAAUAUGCUGGGCUACACGCGCACUACAAAGGAUGGGACAAUGAGCAGCUACACCGAGAGGUGAUGCGAUCCCGAAACCCAUUCGUAGUUCGGAUCGAG